GUAGUAUUCCCUCCGUCCCAAAAUUCUUGUCUUACAUUUGUUUAGAUACAGAUGUAUCUAACACUAAAAUGUAACUAGAUACAUCCAUAUUUAGAAAAAUUUAAGACAAGAAUUUUGGGACAGAGGGAGUACAAA
rnacentral:pre_miRNA from 1 species